AUUGAACGCUGGCGGCAUGCUUUACACAUGCAAGUCGAACGGCAGCACGGGUGCUUGCACCUGGUGGCGAGUGGCGAACGGGUGAGUAAUGCACCGGAACGUAUCCAAUAAUGGGGGAUAACGCAGCGAAAGCUGUGCUAAUACCGCAUACGCCCUGAGGGGGAAAGCGGGGGAUCGUAAGACCUCGCGUUAAUGGAGCGGCCGAUGCCGGAUUAGCUAGUUGGUGGGGUAAAGGCUCACCAAGGCGACGAUCCGUAGCUGGUCUGAGAGGACGACCAGCCACACGGGGACUGAGACACGGCCCAGAGUCCUACGGGAGGCAGCAGUGGGGAAUUUUGGACAAUGGGCGCAAGCCUGAUCCAGCCAUGCCGCGUGAGUGAAGAAGGCCUUCGGGUUGUAAAGCUCUUUCGCAAGGAAAGAAAACUUAUCCGCUAAUACCGGGUGAGGAUGACGGUACCUUGAUAAGAAGCACCGGCUAACUACGUGCCAGCCGCCGCGGUAAGAC
rnacentral:rRNA from 1 species